GCGAGUCCCUCACCUGCUUCCAGCCAAGGGGGCACUGGGUGGAGAUGGGGGGCAUGUUGGGUGUGUGAACCCUCGGGGCAGGGGAGGAGUCCAGGCUGGGGCACCGCAGCCGCGCCACUGCCUUUCUCCUCCAUCCUCCACACUCCAUACACCUCUCUCUUCUCCUUCCAG
rnacentral:misc_RNA from 1 species